rnacentral:rRNA from 1 species
CCGCGAGAUGCCGGCAGGGGGCAGCGGUAAGACGGAGGGUGCGAGCGUGGUCCGGGAGUAUUGGGCGGAAAGGGCUGGUGGUCGGUUGUGGGCGUCGGGAGUGAAAACCUCAUGCUUAACAUGUGGCUUGCUUUCGAUACGGGCAGACUGGAGGUAUGCAGGGGAGAACGGAAUUCCUGGUGUAGCGGUGAAAUGCGCAGAUAUCAGGAGGAACACCGGUGGCGAAGGCGGUUCUCUGGGCAUUACCUGACGCUGAGGAGCGAAAGUGUGGGGAGCGAACAGGAUAGAUACCCUUGUAGUC